UUAAAAGGGUAUGGCCGAUCACUUUUUUGGAAUAGUAUAUGAAAUAAAAGGAGUACCUGGUUAAGGUCCUAAUUAUUUCUCUAAUUUGCUCUCCACCUUCGUAGUUGAAUAUGAAAUCAUCUUAUCAGACAUGACUAAAUCUUUGUAUUUGGACAUAAUAUAUAUCUCGAUAUAGAUCUAAGUAUUUAUUAACCACGUUUGACUAGUUAAUGGGUUUUAAUUAUUUGGUCUUCUUCUCUUAAUUUGCAGUGACAAAGUAUCUGAUGCUUAUUUUCCUAAAAUUUGUGAACUUUGCUUCAAGAUUUAAGGAGCCUCCUUAAGGUUUAUAAUUAAUACUAAUAAUCGUAGCUCAAAACUCUUUAAUUUAGAGUAUUUAUGUGUGUUGCUAUUGAUCUUAUAAUAUGUAUUUAAUAAUAAAAAUUCUCA
rnacentral:lncRNA from 1 species